rnacentral:lncRNA from 1 species
UCUCUCAAAGCUUAUUAGUUUAGACUUUAAAAUUAUAACUCAUUUUGUCUACAUAGAAUUGACUAGAUGGAUGAUAAAUCACAAUUCAUAUAGACUGUAACAGCAUGAGCACAUUUUUAUAUUAGUAUGUAUUUUGCUUGUAGUCAAAAAAGUAAGUAAAGUGUGUAUUCACUUCUGUGAUUAUCACAAAUGACAGCCUUCACUGUAAAAAACAGUGUAGAUUAAAAACUAGAAUGUAAGAACUUUAAGAUAUGGAAUCAGGUCAGAAAUGAGGAAUUCAUUUUCCAGGUCAUCCCCAAGCCCUUUGUUUUAUCAAGCCAACCCUUUUUUGGUUGGAUAUUUACUAUUAAACUGAGGUUUUAGUAAUUUCUUAAAACUUUUAAUUCUUUUAACUAGUGAGGGAAGUAUGCCCAACCUCUUAAGGCUCAGUAUUUUUUGACUGUCAACAGCACAACUCCCAGAUUCUUAUAUGUCAAUAUUGUACUGGAGAUUCACCAAGAUCACAAGUGUUUGAGAAUUCCCACCCAUGAGAAAGAAUCGAGAACAGUUAUGUUUAGAAUAAAAUGUAAACCAAGCUGUGAGAACGUUGAGUACUC